CUGUUGAUUUAAAGCAGAGUCUGUCGUGGCCAGCGGAAGGAUGAAGAAUACGUGCUGCAUACUCCUUAUUGCUUUAUUUACAGUUCAAAGCUGGUAUAUUACAGAAAGACAUCUUGCCUCUGCAGGAGCAGAGAAAUGCAUCCUCUCUCCUCUCUCAGCUCGGAGAGAAUCACACAGUGAAAAAACAGGAAACCAGUGUACGUCACAUCCAGUCUCCCUUUCCCGUGAGAAACUCCAACAGUACAGACUGUGGAAUGCAAAACAAUGUCUUGUGACUGCAGUUGCUGCUCAGUGAGGAAAUAGAAACCAACAUCCUCCCCUUUCUGUGAACAUCACUGGGCAGCGUGUUCGUACAAUAUCAGUACAAACCCAACUUCUGCACAUAGGUACAGUGUUGAUCCCUUGAUACAAUCUUGGACAAUACAUCAGCAGGAAUUUCAUUACCUGGCAUAUAGGACACCGUUACGAGUCCCUUCUGAAUACAUUCCCUAGCAUGCUGCAACUUUAAUUGCAAGUGCUUUGUGCUUUGCUUACAACCUUCAGACUUCAGCAAAGCCAAACAUGCUUUGUUGUCCUGGUAAACCUGGAUUGGACAUUUGACAGGAAUUUUCAUAUCUUUGCACAACUGUACUAACCAUUCACAAUCCUUAAGUGAAUAAGACAGUGCAUUCAGUUCGGCUUCACAAGUACUUAAGCUAACUGUUGUUUGCUUCUUGCAUGACCAAUCAAACAGACUCUGAUUGUACAUGUAGCAAACUCCAGACGUACUUUUCCUGUCUGUAGCGUCACUUCCAAAACUUGCAUCUGCAAAUAUCUCAAGACCACCAGACUUCUGAUUGUUAAAUCUCAGUCUGUAAUGCAUAGUGCCUUUCAAAUACCGCGCUAUGCGUUUCAGAGCUUUCCAAUCCUUGACACUAGGAUUGUUGACUUGUCUGCUUAGCAAAUUACAGCUAACAGCAAUGUCUGGUCUUGAACAUCUGGCAAUGAAGUUUAGCUUGCCUAGCACACUCCUGUACAGUGUAGUGUCAGAAAAUGCUUCUUCAGUGUCAUCUACCUGAUAACCUGUUGUCAUCGGUGUGUCUACAGGGUUAGCAUCCAUCAGAUUUAGUUUGCUUAACACAUCAGCAAUUUUCCGUGACUGGUGUACUAGAAUGUUACCAUCUUGAUCUCUCUCUAUUUCCAGAGAUAGGUAGUUGUUUACCUCACCAAGAUCUUUCAUGUCAAAGUGCUCUUUCAGUUGAGCUAGGGCGUUAUUGUACAUUGCGACAUCUUUCCAAAAGAAUAACAAAUCAUCAACAUAAAACAAACAGUACAGUUUCUUUUGCACCUCCUCUUUGACAAAUACACAUGGAUCAGCUUUCCCUUGCUGAAAACCUAGAGAAAACAAUACUUCAGUGAGUUUUGUGUGCCAACACCGUGCACUUUGUUUGAGACCAUAAAGGGAUUUCUUCAGAGCACAAACAAAUCCCUGUUUAACCUGUACGCCAUCAGGUGGAAGCAUAUAAAGUGAUUCAUCUAGAGAUCCGUACAGAAAAGCUGUAUUAAUAUCAUGGUGACUAAUGUGUAGAUUUUCCUCUGCAGCUAGCUUGAGCAUAAGCCUAAUGCUUUCAUAUCUCACUGUGGGUGAAUAGGUCUCGUGAUAGUCUUGACCUGGUACCUGUGCAAAACCUCUGGCUACCAAUCUGGCUUUGUGUCUGACUAUCUUGCCAUUUUGAUCUGUCUUCGCUUUGAAGACCCAUUUGCUUCCAAGCAGUUUCAUUCCUGGAACUACUGGAACUAGCUCCCAUGUUUUGUUCCUUUCUAAGGAAUCAAGCUCAGCCUUCAUGGCAUUUAACCAUGGCUCAGCUUCCUUUGAAUCCAAACCCUGGAUUUCUUGGAAACUUGAAGGUUCAAAUACCUUCUUGGAGCUUUUAACAGCUGUUACUGCUAUCUUAGCAAACUCAUCAGCAAAUCUCUUUGGAGGUUUGCCUUUUGUGGCUCUCUGUGACCUACGAAUUAUCCUUAAGUCUUCAACACUCUCCUCUUCCUUCUUAGGAGAAAAACGACCUAUUGUGAACAAUGGUUCCUCCAAUUCUUGAUCAGAGCUUUCAGAGGGUCGCAUAGAGGCUUUCGCACUCUUGAAAUCCUCUGAAUCACCCGAUUCAGUUUCAGAUUCAGACUCAGAACCUUCAUCAGUGGGUGUGGGUUGUUGUGGUUGCUUUUGACUAUCCUCAGUCUCAUCACCGUCAUCAGGAUAACAUUGGAAAAUUCCCACAUUCUCCCCCACUUUGCAUUGUACUCAACACUUCUCGUGAGCUUAAUUGUCUUAGAGUCAGUCAUCAUUAUUCUGUAAGACCCUUUCUGAUAACCUAGAAAGAUACCAUGCAAUCCACGCUUGUCUAAUUUGGAGUUUUGUGGUGAGCGAACCCACAUGUCAGAACCAAAAAUCUUCAUGUGUUUGAUGUAUGGCUUCUUGCCAAACAUCUUCUCAUAGGGGGUACAACCAAUCGCUGAAGAUAAUCUGCGAUUGUAACUGUAAACAAAACACGAGAGAGAUUCGGCCCAAUAACUCUCUGGAAGAUUGGCAUCAUGCAGCAAGGUUUUUAAGCCUUGAAGCAAUGUCUGAUUUGCCCGUUCCGCAAGUCCAUUCUGCCAUGGCGAGCGAGGACUAGACAAAUCGUGUUGAAUUCCUUUCUCAGUCAGAAAAGCUUCAAACUGCUGAGAAGUGAAUUCCCCCCCGCGAUCACUGAAAAGAGUCUUUAUCUUCUUACCAUGCACAUUUUCCAACCAAGCACAGAAUUCCUUGAACCUAGGAAAAGCCUCCGAUUUCUGCUUGAGAUUGUACACAAAAAUAUAUCUAGAAAAUGCAUCAAUGAGAACCAUGAAGUAUCUAUUUCCACCCAAAGAGGGCGCAAGUGGUCCAACCAAAUCAGCAUGAACAACCUGGUAUGGUUCUGUAGCUUUCCUACUAGACACCUUACCUUUCGCAGCCAUUUUCACCUUGUUUGCUGCGCAUGCUUUGCACUUCAUGUGGUACCUGCAGGGUUUAAUAGUCAUACCUUCAACCAAGGCAGGCAUUUUAGAUACUGCCUCAAAAUGCAAAUGACCAAAUUUGCGAUGAAAAUCGUGAAUACAUUCUGCAUGCAAACUUUUGUUAGAACCUGCAAUGCAACAAGUGUCAUCCUGCACCACAUCAUCAUAAUACAAAACAAACAAAUGAUCAACAUAUUCUGCAUGCAAUACAUAAUCAUUUUUCUUUGUGAUGAUGCACUUCUUGUUCUUGAAGGAAACGUCAAUGUUCCGCUCAUUCAGCUGUCCAACGCUGAGCAGAUUAUGUUUGGCGUCUGGCACGUAAAGCACAUUCUGUAUCGAUAAGUCCAAACUGUGAAGAACAACAGUUCCGUAGCCUUUACUGGGAAUAGUGUGGUCAUCCGCCUGGUGAAUCGCACCUUCCUGCGGUGUAAAAGACACAAACAGUUUCUUAUCGUUGCACAUGUGGUGAGUGGCCGCUGAAUCAACAACGAAGAAAGAUCUAGACGUCUUCUGGACCUCUGCAACCUUUGGAGUGAAGCGUGAAACCAUAGCCUUGUGCUGCGUUGUCCUAGACACCGGACCUUUGCCUUUGCCUCGGCCUUUUCCGUGCGAUGAGCUUCGCUGCGCUGCUCUGUCUUGGCCCUGGGAUGUCUGCAUUCCCUCUUCAUAUGGCCUAGACGUCCACACGAGUAGCAUUUCACUGCCUUCAAAGCUUUGGCGCCAUCUGGUGGUUCCACUGCACUAUGGGAUGACGUCUGUGAAGACUCCCCCUUGCCCAUGCAGCUUGCACCCCGCCGAUCUGCUUCAUUUAAAAUCACGGCAGUAACAAAGUCCACUGUCAGCUGAGCAGUUGGUUGCACAGCAAUCUGGGUUGCAACAGACUCCCAACCUGAACCCAAAGAUUGUAGUAUCAUGAAAGAAUACACAGCCUCUGGAAAGUUGAGUCCUCUCUGUUGCAGCUCAUGUCUCAGAUUUUGCAUCUCCAUUAGAUGUAAACGCACAUCUCCACCUUCAGCAAGAGCCAUAUUAUGCAGCUUGUUAAAAUAAAACAUAGUGGAUCCAGCUUCUGUCCUUAAGUGAGCCUCUCUCAGAGCGUCCCAAAUUUCUCUGGCUGAGGUCUUAUCACGCAAUAGACAGAGCUCUUCUGGGGAUACUAUCAAUGUAAGAGUUCCCCUUGCUUUGGAAUCCUUAGCUUCCCAUGCAUCUGUAACUGGAACUGGGGGGGUUUCUGUAAUCACCUCAAACAAACCCUCUUUCCGCAGAAUUGCCUCUGCAUACUGAACCCAGUCGCUGUAAUUCUUCUUGUUGAGCUUAGGAAUCCCACAAGCAUCCUGAAGGGCCAUCAUGACUCUGGCAUUAGCCUUCAGCGUCAUAUGCUGCUUUAAAUCUUGCUGCGUCACUGCUGCAGCUGCCUCAUUACAAAGGCACACUUAAAAGUUACUUUCGAUUUCCCCAGCAUAGUGACUUGUGCCUGGGAGCCUUUUGCCUAUUUGCAAAACCGGCUUUAAAAGUUCAAAGUCCAGCCAUAAAGCCAUUAUCUUGAAGCUGGCAGGCUGCCCGGAGCAGUAGCACAUACCUCAUCAAUCACUUCUACGCGCAGAGCAGAUUCCGUUCCGAUCCGUCCCUCUGCAUUCCUUUGCCGGCACUCCGAUUCGACCUCUGGAGUCCAUAACCAUGUGUUGAAUUAAAGCAGAGUCUGUCGUGGCCAGCGGAAGGAUGAAGAAUACGUGCUACAUACUCUAUAUUGCUUUAUUUACAGUUCAAAGCUGGUAUAUUACAGAAAGACAUCUUGCCUCUGCAGGAGCAGAGAAAUGCAUCCUCUCUCCUCUCUCAGCUCGGAGAGAAUCACACAGUGAAAAAACAGGAAACCAGUGUACGUCACAUCCAGUCUCCCUUUCCCGUGAGAAACUCCAACAGUACAGACUGUGGAAUGCAAAACAAUGUCUUGUGACUGCAGUUGCUGCUCAGUGAGGGAAAUAGAAACCAACAGUUUCCACUUCUCU
rnacentral:lncRNA from 1 species